GUGGGGAAUAUUGGACAAUGGGCGAAAGCCUGAUCCAGCCAUGCCGCGUGUGUGAAGAAGGUCUUCGGAUUGUAAAGCACUUUAAGUUGGGAGGAAGGGCAGUAAGUUAAUACCUUGCUGUUUUGACGUUACCGACAGAAUAAGCACCGGCUAACUUCGUGCCAGCAGCCGCGGUAAUACGAAGGGUGCAAGCGUUAAUCGGAAUUACUGGGCGUAAAGCGCGCGUAGGUGGUUUUGUACGUUGGAGGUGAAUUCCCCGGGCUGAACCUGGGAACUGCCUCCAAAACUGCAUGACUAGAGUACGGUAGAGGGUAGUGGAAUUUCCUGUGUAGCGGUGAAAUGCGUAGAUAUAGGAAGGAACACCAGUGGCGAAGGCGACUACCUGGACUGAUACUGACACUGAGGUGCGAAAGCGUGGGGAGCAAACAGGAUUAGAAACCCCUGUAGUCC
rnacentral:rRNA from 1 species